rnacentral:rRNA from 1 species
GAUGAACGCUGGCGGCGUGCCUAAUACAUGCAAGUCGAGCGAACAGAUGAGAAGCUUGCUUCUCUGAUGUUAGCGGCGGACGGGUGAGUAACACGUGGGUAACCUACCUAUAAGACUGGGAUAACUCCGGGAAACCGGGGCUAAUACCGGAUAAUAUUUUGAACCGCAUGGUUCAAUAGUGAAAGACGGUUUCGGCUGUCACUUAUAGAUGGACCCGCGCCGUAUUAGCUAGUUGGUAAGGUAACGGCUUACCAAGGCGACGAUACGUAGCCGACCUGAGAGGGUGAUCGGCCACACUGGAACUGAGACACGGUCCAGACUCCUACGGGAGGCAGCAGUAGGGAAUCUUCCGCAAUGGGCGAAAGCCUGACGGAGCAACGCCGCGUGAGUGAUGAAGGUCUUCGGAUCGUAAAACUCUGUUGUUAGGGAAGAACAAAUUUGUUAGUAACUGCUACAGUCUUGACGGUAUCUUAUCAGAAAGCCACGGCUAACUACGUGCCAGCCGCCGCGGUAA